rnacentral:lncRNA from 1 species
CGUUAUGUUCAUCCUGUUAAAUAACUGUGAGCAGUUUGAGACAUCGCUGUUGCGUGGUGAGGUUGACAGCACAGAGGAGUUCUUCAGGAACCGGUGUUCUAGCAACACAGAUGCGGUUGGUCUCUCCGCCGGGUUUCUCUGGAAACAUAAUCUUAGAAAGUCUUUACCCUCUGCUGACAUCGUUUCAGGUACUGGUGGGCUAUCUCUCAUGACCUUGAACAUAGCUGCUGCCUAUGAUUAGGCAAACAGUUUUAGAGAUCAGGAGCAAAUCUAUCUUUAGUGUAACAACGCAUAUGUGUGUGUAUGCUUACCCCUUCAAACUCACUCCACGGAGGCUUCCCAGUGAACAUCUCAAUAUAUCAACAGCAAAAGCGAGAUCUGGGUUGCUAUCUCUUUGCAUCACGGCUUGCAUGAGCUGUGCUAUGGCCAUGUGAAGAAUGAUUAGCAGGGGUGUCCUGUAAAACCCGCUGAGUUUGAUUCUUCUUCACAUGACCAGGCUUUUGAAGUGUUCCAUCUGGGGUUACAAACACAGAAAAAUCCACCAAAACAAAAUCUUUUUAUAACUGAACAUACACCUAAAGCAAGGAAAAGGAAGAAGAGUACCUUUUAGUACAUAGCCUGACUUUAAUUUCCUCUCUCUCAUAACUUUUCUGGGUGCGGCACCACGGCUGUGCUUUUCAGAAAGUAUUGUCCCUCUGUCUUCUUAAUUAUCCCCCCCAAAACACAUGAGUGAACUAUAUACAGCACACAAAACUCACCUGCCUCAAGGUCAUUAACUUAUAAAGAUUACGUCCUUUCACAAGUAAAGGGUAGUAAAGGGAGGCAGUUUCUGUAUCCCCUCGCACCAAAGCACUUCAAUCUUUGGCACAAAUGAGAUGGGUCAGUUUUUUAUCAGAAUAAAGCAAAGUCACACAAUGAUGAUAUCAACAUACAGUCACACAAUGAUGACUCCAAUCGCUGAACAGACAACAAGCACUAUCGGUAAAGAGAAGAUUAAAUUAAGCAGUCAAGUCAAUUAAUAAUUAAUUCCCUAAAAUCGAUUCUUCUUCUUCCAUUUCGUUAAGCUCUUCGGGAAUACAAUCAAUCUCCUCAUCAAUACUACUGAUAUCGUCUUCUUCCUCGUCCGAGCUACACAGAUCGAUCAUUACCUUCUCCUGAGGAAGGUUUCGAAUUCAAAAUUAUGCAAACGGUGUAUGAUAUCUGAUAAGUCUUAAGAUAUAUAACUUUAAUCAGAGAGAUUAUUAAUAUAUGGAACUAAAUCUAAAAAAUGAUACACAGAAUACUUCGUUUAUACACAGAAUGAAAAAAAAAGCAACAAAUAACUCCUCUGCUAUCGAUUCAGUAUUAGGGACAAAUGUCCCACAUCGUUAGUUGAAAGAGAUCUUUAGUAAUAUAUAAGAUAGAUGAGCCACUCCACUUAUCACCAAUUAGUUUUAAGUUGGAAGCCCAUCUAGCUUAACAUGGUAUCAGAACCCGAUCCACGCAGUCCAACCCGAUCCACAUCGACCCGGCCCAAAAUUGGCCUUCGAUACUUGCCCAAACAUUCCGAGAUUGACGUUUAAAGAACCAUCAUCUCGAGGGGGCGUAUUAGGGACAAAUGUCCCACAUCGGUAGUUGGAAGGAAUCUUUAGUAAUAUAUAAGAUAGAUGGACUACUCCACUUAUCACCAAUUGGUUUUAGGCUGGAAGCCGAUCUAGCUUAACAUUCAGCACUUGUUUAUAAAUGUUACAUACACCACAAUACUCCUACCCUCUCAUCUCGUUUUCUUGCACUCUCUCUCUCUCUAUCCGCACACACAUAUGUGCAUAAGAAUACCAAAGUACUAGCUUCAAAUGUUCUCUCCUUGGGUUGGUGCAAAUCAAAUGUGAUCUGAAGACACCCCGAUUCUUCUCCGAUCAGUGCUUUGCCUUUGGUUGUUGGCUCGGAGACGGGCUUCGAAUUGCCUCCAGAGUCGAACGAGGGGACAGACGUGUCACUGUUCCAAUUACAUCAGGAGACCGGUGCUGUUGCUGUUGCUGCUGCUGUUGUUGCCAACUUUCACUGGAGUAAAUAAAAAUACGUGUGAAGAAGCUUAACAAACAACACAGAGAGAAACACAUACUCAUAGGUUUCACAUAUGUUUCGGUUUUGAAACUGGAAAAAGUCUCUAAAUGCGAAUGAAGAAUGACUACCUCUCUGAAGAUGUCACGUUUCUAGCGCGCAGGACUUGAUCUAGUUUGAAAUUUGGUUUCUCCCUCCUACUGUUUGGUUCCUGUCAACGCAAAGAGAGAUAAGAGAAUGUUACUAAUAAUUAUAGAGCUGCGAGCUGGGAUUGAGGUUUUGCAUUACCGUUAUGUUCAUCCUGUUAAAUAACUGUGAGCAGUUUGAGACAUCGCUGUUGCGUGGUGAGGUUGACAGCACAGAGGAGUUCUUCAGGAACCGGUGUUCUAGCAACACAGAUGCGGUUGGUCUCUCCGCCGGGUUUCUCUGGAAACAUAAUCUUAGAAAGUCUUUACCCUCUGCUGACAUCGUUUCAGGUACUGGUGGGCUAUCUCUCAU